GCAUAUCAAUAAGCGGAGGAAAAGAAACCAACCGGGAUUGCCUCAGUAACGGCGAAGUGAAGCGGCAAGAGCUCAAAUUUGAAAGCUGGCCCCUCCGGGGUCCGCAUUGUAAUUUGCAGAGGAUGCUUCGGGCUCAGCCCCCGUCUAAGUGCCCUGGAACGGGCCGUCGGAGAGGGUGAGAAUCCCGUCUGGGACGGGGUGCCUGGGUCCAUGUGAAGCUCCUUCGACGAGUCGAGUUGUUUGGGAAUGCAGCUCUAAAUGGGUGGUAAAUUUCAUCUAAAGCUAAAUACUGGCCGGAGACCGAUAGCGCACAAGUAGAGUGAUCGAAAGAUGAAAAGCACUUUGAAAAGAGAGUUAAACAGCACGUGAAAUUGUUGAAAGGGAAGCGCUUGCGAUCAGACUCGCCUGCGGGGUUCAGCCGGCAUUCGUGCCGGUGUACUUCCCCGUGGGCGGGCCAGCGUCGGUUCGGGUGGCCGGUCAAAGGCCCCGGGAAUGUGUCGCCCUCCGGGGCGUCUUAUAGCCCGGGGUGCCAUGCGGCCUACCUGGACCGAGGAACGCGCUUCGGCUCGGACGCUGGCGUAAUGGUCGUAAGCGACCCGUCUUGAAACACGGACCAAGGAGUCUAACAUCUACGCGAGUGUUUGGGUGGCAAACCCAUACGCGCAGUGAAAGCGAACGGAGGUGGGAACCCUUCGGGGCGCACCAUCGACCGAUCCUGAUGUCUUCGGAUGGAUUUGAGUAAGAGCGUAGCUGUGGGGACCCGAAAGAUGGUGAACUAUGCCUGAAUAGGGCGAAGCCAGAGGAAACUCUGGUGGAGGCUCGCAGCGGUUCUGACGUGCAAAUCGAUCGUCAAAUUUGGGGUAUAGGGGCGAAAGACUAAUCGAACCAUCUGGUAGCUGGGUUCCUGCCGA
rnacentral:rRNA from 1 species